GCAAGUCGAGCGGAGAUAAUGAGGGAUCUUCAGAUGACCUCCUAUCUAGCGGCGGAUGGGUGAGUAACACGUGGGUAACCUGCCCUGCACAGGGGGAUAACAGCUGGAAACGGCUGGUUAAUACCGCAUAUGCACACGCUGCCGCAUGGCAGAGGGUGGAAAGAUUUAUCGGUGACAGGAUGGGGCCCGCGUCGGAUUAACUAGUUGGGCAGGGUAACGGCCUACCAAGGUGAUGAUCCGUAGCCGACCUGAGAGGGUGACCGGCCACAUUGGGACUGAGACACGGCCCAAACUCCUACGGGAGGCAGCAGUGGGGGAUAUUGCACAAUGGGCGCAAGCCUGAUGCAGCGACGCCGCGUGAAGGAAGAAGUAUUUCGGUAUGUAAACUUCUAUCAGCGGGGAAGAAGAUGACGGUACCCGACUAAGAAGCCCCGGCUAACUACGUGCCAGCCGCCGC
rnacentral:rRNA from 1 species